CUAGUAAUCGCGAAUCAGCAUGUCGCGGUGAAUACGUUCCCGGGUCUUGUACACACCGCCCGUCACACCAUGGGAGUCGGAAAUGCCCGAAGCCAGUGACCCAACCUUUAAGGAGGGAGCUGUCGAAGGCAGGUCUGGUAACUGGGGUGAAGUCGUAACAAGGUAGC
rnacentral:rRNA from 1 species